rnacentral:rRNA from 1 species
UACAGAGGGGGCUAGCGUUAUUCGGAAUUAUUGGGCGUAAAGGGCGCGUAGGCGGCCAUGCGUGUCUUCCGUGAAAUCCCUCGGCUUAACUGUGGACGUGCGGAAGAAACUGCAAGGCUCGAGUCCGGGAGAGGGGGGUGGAAUUCCCAGUGUAGCGGUGAAAUGCGUAGAUAUUGGGAGGAACACCGGUGGCGAAGGCGGCCCCCUGGACCGGAACUGACGCUGAGGCGCGAAAGCGUGGGUAGCAAACGGG